rnacentral:misc_RNA from 1 species
GGCAUCCGUGCUGCUACCUGCAUUGAAAGUGUCAUUUAUCACAUACAGCUUUCCCGUAAUUAUCUAGUUACAUACAUGGAAAUAAUAUUUGGCCAAAAAAAAUAAUGAUAGUCAUGGUAGCUCUGUAUAUAGAUCAGAGCUCAGUUUUUUUUUUUUUUUUCCCUCCUCUGUUGGUUUUCUAAGGAAAAGAAGCAGAAGAAAGUUUUAUUAUGCACUUUAUCUUCUUAAAACUCUUUAUUGCAGCAGAUGAAGCCUCUUCCAACAUUCUCUUCCACUUUUAGGGGAUACUUAUUAUCCAUCCAAGCAAGAUAACCUCCUCCCAUGUUGCUCACAUCCUUGAAACCAGCACUAAGAAGAUCAGCAGUUGCAUGCCGAGAUCUGCCUCCACUUUGACAGCCCACAACAAGAUGAUCAUCCUCCUUGCAAACAGCUGAAAUCUCCUUCAAGAAUUUUGGAUUUUUCAACCAUCCUACUGGAGUCUUCAACAUGUAAGGAACGUUGAAUAUCUUCUCUGCAUGUACAUGCCCUUUCUUGAACUCCUCCACCAUCCUAACAUCCACAUAAACGUAACCAGACUCGAGAAGACCCUUAGCUGCCUUAACGUCAACAGUGACGACUUCAGCUUCUGAGCUUUUUAUCGAGAGCCCAUGCCAAGACCAGUUGAAUUUUGAUUCCAGAUCUGGUGGCUGUUUGCUGGGUUUGCCUUAGAAAACCAGCUGCUGGUAUAUGUGCGGGCUGAUU